GAUGAACGCUAGCUACAGGCUUAACACAUGCAAGUCGAGGGGCAGCAUGGUCUUAGCUUGCUAAGGCCGAUGGCGACCGGCGCACGGGUGAGUAACACGUAUCCAACCUGCCGUCUACUCUUGGACAGCCUUCUGAAAGGAAGAUUAAUACAAGAUGGCAUCAUGAGUCCGCAUGUUCACAUGAUUAAAGGUAUUCCGGUAGACGAUGGGGAUGCGUUCCAUUAGAUAGUAGGCGGGGUAACGGCCCACCUAGUCUUCGAUGGAUAGGGGUUCUGAGAGGAAGGUCCCCCACAUUGGAACUGAGACACGGUCCAAACUCCUACGGGAGGCAGCAGUGAGGAAUAUUGGUCAAUGGGCGAGAGCCUGAACCAGCCAAGUAGCGUGAAGGAUGACUGCCCUAUGGGUUGUAAACUUCUUUUAUAAAGGAAUAAAGUCGGGUAUGCAUACCCGUUUGCAUGUACUUUAUGAAUAAGGAUCGGCUAACUCCGUGCCAGCCGCCGCCGUAAAAC
rnacentral:rRNA from 1 species